GUAGAGACAGAGAGAGAGAGAGAGAGGGUAGAGACAGAGAGGGUAGAGACAGAGAGAGAGAGAGGGUAGAGACAGAGAGGGUAGAGACAGAGAGAGAGAGAGGGUAGAGACAGAGAGGUAGAGACAGAGAGAGAGAGAGAGAGAGAGGGUAGAGACAGAGAGAGAGGGUAGAGACAGAGAGAGAGAGAGGGUAGAGACAGAGAGAGAGAGAGGGUAGAGACAGAGAGAGAGAGGGUAGAGACAGAGAGAGGGUAGAGACAGAGAGAGGAGACAGAGAGAGAGAGAGAGGGUAGAGACAGAGAGAGAGAGAGGGUAGAGACAGAGAGAGAGAGGGUAGAGACAGAGAGAGAGAGGGUAGAGACAGAGAGAGAGAGAGAGAGAGGGUAGAGACAGAGAGAGAGAGAGGGUAGAGACAGAGAGAGAGAGGAGGUAGAGAGAGAGAGAGAGGGUAGAGAGAGAGAGAGAGGGUAGAGACAGAGAGAGAGGGUAGAGACAGAGAGAGAGAGAGGGUAGAGACAGAGAGAGAGAGAGGGUAGAGACAGAGAGAGAGAGGGUAGAGACAGAGAGAGGGUAGAGACAGAGAGAGAGAGGGUAGAGACAGAGAGAGAGAGAGAGAGAGGGUAGAGACAGAGAGAGAGAGGGUAGAGACAGAGAGAGAGAGGGUAGAGACAGAGAGAGAGAGGGUAGAGACAGAGAGAGAGAGGGUAGAGACAGAGAGAGAGAGAGGGUAGAGACAGAGAGAGAGAGAGGGUAGAGACAGAGAGAGAGAGAGGGUAGAGACAGAGAGAGAGAGAGGGUAGAGACAGAGAGAGAGAGAGGGUAGAGACAGAGAGAGAGGGUAGAGACAGAGAGAGAG
rnacentral:lncRNA from 1 species